UUUUGGACAAUGGGCGCAAGCCUGAUCCAGCAAUGCCGCGUGAGUGAAGAAGGCCUUCGGGUUGUAAAGCUCUUUUGUCAGGGAAGAAACGGUGAGCUCUAAUACAGUUUGCUAAUGACGGUACCUGAAGAAUAAGCACCGGCUAACUACGUGCCAGCAGCCGCGGUAAUACGUAGGGUGCAAGCGUUAAUCGGAAUUACUGGGCGUAAAGCGUGCGCAGGCGGUUAUGUAAGUCAGAUGUGAAAUCCCCGGGCUCAACCUGGGAAUGGCAUUUGAGACUGCAUGGCUAGAGUGUGUCAGAGGGGGGUAGAAUUCCACGUGUAGCAGUGAAAUGCGUAGAGAUGUGGAGGAAUACCGAUGGCGAAGGCAGCCCCCUGGGAUAACACUGACGCUCAUGCACGAAC
rnacentral:rRNA from 1 species